rnacentral:rRNA from 1 species
UCAUUCGAGGAGGUAGUGACUAUCAAUAACGAGACAGAUCUCUUUGAGGUCUGUCAUUGAAAUGAGCACAACUUAAAGACUUUAACGAAUCUAUGGGAGGGCAAGUCUGGUGCCAGCAGCCGCGUAAUUCCAGCUCCCAACGUGUAUAUCGUCAUUGCUGCCGGUUAAAAAGCUCGUAGUUGGAUCUUAGCUUAUGACAGUAGUUCACCAUGUGUGAUACUGCGUGUCUGAGCUGUUUCGCCGGUUUUCCAUGGUUUCGGCCGUGGUGACUGGUGUUGUAACUUUGAUUAAAUCAAUGUGAUUAAAACAGGCGUUUGCUUGUAUGCUUUAUCAUGGAAUAAUAGAAUAUGACUUCGGUCCAUUCUGUUGGUCUUGGGAUCGAAGUAAUGAUUAAAAGGAACAACUCGGGGGCAUCCGUAUCGCUGCGUGAGAGGUGAAAUUCUUGGACCGCAGCGAGACGACCUAUUGCGAAAGCUUUUGCCAAGACUGUUUUCAUUAAUCAAGAAC